rnacentral:tRNA from 1 species
GAGAGAUGGCUCAGUGGUUAAAGCACUGACUGUUUUUUCCAGAGACCUGGGUUCAAUUCCCAGCACUCA